rnacentral:misc_RNA from 1 species
GAGGGUCGCGAGACCUCCCUAAUACCUUCAACCAACCCGCGUACCUACCCGAGGGGGCCCCAGUGGCCACAAAACAUGAUGCCUCGGUCGGUGGCCCCAGGGGGGGCCUCUGCCUGCGCGCCUUCCGGGGCGCGGGGGUGCCGGCCGGCGGCCAAAACCAAAAACCUGAACGUUAUAAUAACCAAUAACCUCUUUAUAAACCAAAACCAUUA